rnacentral:rRNA from 1 species
GCUAUUUAGGUUAGAGUUUGAUCCUGGCUCAGAACGAACGCUGGCGGCAGGCCUAACACAUGCAAGUCGAACGGGCGUAGCAAUACGUCAGUGGCGGACGGGUGAGUAACACGUGGGAAUAUGCCUUUCGGUUCGGAACAACUCGGGGAAACUCGUGCUAAUUCCGGAUACGCCCUUACGGGGAAAGAUUUAUCGCCGAAAGAUUAGCCCGCGUCCGAUUAGCUAGUUGGUGAGGUAAAGGCUCACCAAGGCACCGAUCGGUAGCUGGUUUGAGAGAACGACCAGCCACACUGGGACUGAGACACGGCCCAGACUCCUACGGGAGGCAGCAGUGGGGAAUCUUGGACAAUGGGCGCAAGCCUGAUCCAGCCAUGCCGCGUGAGUGAUGAAGGCCUUCGGGUUGUAAAACUCUUUUGGCGGGGACGAUAAUGACGGUACCCGCAGAAUAAGCUCCGGCUAACUUCGUGCCAGCAGCCGCGGUAAUGUCGGGCCCA